rnacentral:rRNA from 1 species
UACAGAGGGUGCGAGCGUUAAUCGGAAUUACUGGGCGUAAAGGGCGCGUAGGCGGGUGCUUAAGUUAGGUGUGAAAUUCCUGGGCUUAACCUAGGGACUGCACUUAAUACUGAGGAUCUAGAGUAGAGUAGAGGGAAGUGGAAUUUCCGGUGUAGCGGUGAAAUGCGUAGAUAUCGGAAAGAACACCAGUGGCGAAGGCGGCUUCCUGGACUCAUACUGACGCUGAGGCGCGAAAGCGUGGGGAGCAAACAGG